UCCAGGUGUUUGUGUGUUUGGGGGGAGUUAGAAUGAAAUGGUAAGUUUCAUUCUAUCUAAGAUAGCUCUGCCGUGUUUGCUGCCACCUAAUUGUGAACCAGGCAUAUUACACGAACAUAACAGUUGCAAACAGAUUAGGAAUGCACA